GGGGACUACCCGGGUUUCUAAUCCUGUUUGCUCCCCACGCUGUCGCGCCUCAGUGUCAGUACUGGCCCAGUCGACCGCCUUCGCCACCGGUGUUCUUCCGGAUCUCUACGCAUUCCACCGCUACACCCGGAAUUCCAUCGACCUCUACCAGACUCAAGCCUCCCCGUUCGCACGGCAGACUCGGAGUUAAGCCCCGAGCUUUCACCGCACGCGUGAGAAGCCGCCUACGCGCCCUUUACGCCCAGUGAUUCCGGACAACGCUCGCACCCUCUGUAUUACCGCGGCGGCUGGCACGC
rnacentral:misc_RNA from 1 species